CAAAAGGCUCUUUUCAGAGCCACCACAGAUCUCGAAAUAGAGCUG
rfam:Dipodomys ordii contig_70646, whole genome shotgun sequence.